GAUGAACGCUGGCGGCGUGCCUAAUACAUGCAAGUCGAGCGAACAGACGAGGAGCUUGCUCCUCUGACGUUAGCGGCGGACGGGUGAGUAACACGUGGAUAACCUACCUAUAAGACUGGGAUAACUUCGGGAAACCGGAGCUAAUACCGGAUAAUAUAUUGAACCGCAUGGUUCAAUAGUGAAAGACGGUUUUGCUGUCACUUAUAGAUGGAUCCGCGCCGCAUUAGCUAGUUGGUAAGGUAACGGCUUACCAAGGCAACGAUGCGUAGCCGACCUGAGAGGGUGAUCGGCCACACUGGAACGGAGACACGGUCCAGACUCCUACGGGAGGCAGCAGUAGGGAAUCUUCCGCAAUGGGCGAAAGCCUGACGGAGCAACGCCGAGUGAGUGAUGCAGGUCUUCGGAUCGUAAAACUCUGUUAUUAGGGAAGAACAAAUGUGUAAGUAACUAUGCACGUCUUGACGGUACCUAAUCAGAAAGCCACGGCUAACUACGUG
rnacentral:rRNA from 1 species